rnacentral:rRNA from 1 species
UUAAGCGACUAAGCGUACACGGUGGAUGCCCUGGCAGUCAGAGGCGAUGAAGGACGUGCUAAUCUGCGAUAAGCGUCGGUAAGGUGAUAUGAACCGUUAUAACCGGCGAUUUCCGAAUGGGGAAACCCAGUGUGUUUCGACACACUAUCAUUAACUGAAUCCAUAGGUUAAUGAGGCGAACCGGGGGAACUGAAACAUCUAAGUACCCCGAGGAAAAGAAAUCAACCGAGAUUCCCCCAGUAGCGGCGAGCGAACGGGGAGGAGCCCAGAGCCUGAAUCAGUGUGUGUGUUAGUGGAAGCGUCUGGAAAGGCGCGCGAUACAGGGUGACAGCCCCGUACACAAAAAUGCACAUGCUGUGAGCUCGAUGAGUAGGGCGGGACACGUGGUAUCCUGUCUGAAUAUGGGGGGACCAUCCUCCAAGGCUAAAUACUCCUGACUGACCGAUAGUGAACCAGUACCGUGAGGGAAAGGCGAAAAGAACCCCGGCGAGGGGAGUGAAAAAGAACCUGAAACCGUGUACGUACAAGCAGUGGGAGCACGCUUAGGCGUGUGACUGCGUACCUUUUGUAUAAUGGGUCAGCGACUUAUAUUCUGUAGCAAGGUUAACCGAAUAGGGGAGCCGAAGGGAAACCGAGUCUUAACUGGGCGUUAAGUUGCAGGGUAUAGACCCGAAACCCGGUGAUCUAGCCAUGGGCAGGUUGAAGGUUGGGUAACACUAACUGGAGGACCGAACCGACUAAUGUUGAAAAAUUAGCGGAUGACUUGUGGCUGGGGGUGAAAGGCCAAUCAAACCGGGAGAUAGCUGGUUCUCCCCGAAAGCUAUUUAGGUAGCGCCUCGUGAAUUCAUCUCCGGGGGUAGAGCACUGUUUCGGCAAGGGGGUCAUCCCGACUUACCAACCCGAUGCAAACUGCGAAUACCGGAGAAUGUUAUCACGGGAGACACACGGCGGGUGCUAACGUCCGUCGUGAAGAGGGAAACAACCCAGACCGCCAGCUAAGGUCCCAAAGUCAUGGUUAAGUGGGAAACGAUGUGGGAAGGCCCAGACAGCCAGGAUGUUGGCUUAGAAGCAGCCAUCAUUUAAAGAAAGCGUAAUAGCUCACUGGUCGAGUCGGCCUGCGCGGAAGAUGUAACGGGGCUAAACCAUGCACCGAAGCUGCGGCAGCGACGCUUAUGCGUUGUUGGGUAGGGGAGCGUUCUGUAAGCCUGUGAAGGUGUGCUGUGAGGCAUGCUGGAGGUAUCAGAAGUGCGAAUGCUGACAUAAGUAACGAUAAAGCGGGUGAAAAGCCCGCUCGCCGGAAGACCAAGGGUUCCUGUCCAACGUUAAUCGGGGCAGGGUGAGUCGACCCCUAAGGCGAGGCCGAAAGGCGUAGUCGAUGGGAAACAGGUUAAUAUUCCUGUACUUGGUGUUACUGCGAAGGGGGGACGGAGAAGGCUAUGUUGGCCGGGCGACGGUUGUCCCGGUUUAAGCGUGUAGGCUGGUUUUCCAGGCAAAUCCGGAAAAUCAAGGCUGAGGCGUGAUGACGAGGCACUACGGUGCUGAAGCAACAAAUGCCCUGCUUCCAGGAAAAGCCUCUAAGCAUCAGGUAACAUCAAAUCGUACCCCAAACCGACACAGGUGGUCAGGUAGAGAAUACCAAGGCGCUUGAGAGAACUCGGGUGAAGGAACUAGGCAAAAUGGUGCCGUAACUUCGGGAGAAGGCACGCUGAUAUGUAGGUGAAGUCCCUCGCGGAUGGAGCUGAAAUCAGUCGAAGAUACCAGCUGGCUGCAACUGUUUAUUAAAAACACAGCACUGUGCAAACACGAAAGUGGACGUAUACGGUGUGACGCCUGCCCGGUGCCGGAAGGUUAAUUGAUGGGGUCAGCGCAAGCGAAGCUCUUGAUCGAAGCCCCGGUAAACGGCGGCCGUAACUAUAACGGUCCUAAGGUAGCGAAAUUCCUUGUCGGGUAAGUUCCGACCUGCACGAAUGGCGUAAUGAUGGCCAGGCUGUCUCCACCCGAGACUCAGUGAAAUUGAACUCGCUGUGAAGAUGCAGUGUACCCGCGGCAAGACGGAAAGACCCCGUGAACCUUUACUAUAGCUUGACACUGAACAUUGAGCCUUGAUGUGUAGGAUAGGUGGGAGGCUUUGAAGUGUGGACGCCAGUCUGCAUGGAGCCGACCUUGAAAUACCACCCUUUAAUGUUUGAUGUUCUAACGUUGACCCGUAAUCCGGGUUGCGGACAGUGUCUGGUGGGUAGUUUGACUGGGGCGGUCUCCUCCUAAAGAGUAACGGAGGAGCACGAAGGUUGGCUAAUCCUGGUCGGACAUCAGGAGGUUAGUGCAAUGGCAUAAGCCAGCUUGACUGCGAGCGUGACGGCGCGAGCAGGUGCGAAAGCAGGUCAUAGUGAUCCGGUGGUUCUGAAUGGAAGGGCCAUCGCUCAACGGAUAAAAGGUACUCCGGGGAUAACAGGCUGAUACCGCCCAAGAGUUCAUAUCGACGGCGGUGUUUGGCACCUCGAUGUCGGCUCAUCACAUCCUGGGGCUGAAGUAGGUCCCAAGGGUAUGGCUGUUCGCCAUUUAAAGUGGUACGCGAGCUGGGUUUAGAACGUCGUGAGACAGUUCGGUCCCUAUCUGCCGUGGGCGCUGGAGAACUGAGGGGGGCUGCUCCUAGUACGAGAGGACCGGAGUGGACGCAUCACUGGUGUUCGGGUUGUCAUGCCAAUGGCACUGCCCGGUAGCUAAAUGCGGAAGAGAUAAGUGCUGAAAGCAUCUAAGCACGAAACUUGCCCCGAGAUGAGUUCUCCCUGACCCUUUAAGGGUCCUGAAGGAACGUUGAAGACGACGACGUUGAUAGGCCGGGUGUGUAAGCGCAGCGAUGCGUUGAGCUAACCGGUACUAAUGAACCGUGAGGCUUAACCUU